GAGUUUGAUCAUGGCUCAGGACGAACGCUGGCGGCGGGUUUAACACAUGCAAGUCGAGGGACGAAGCCACUCUUCGGAGUGGUGGAAACCGGCGAACGGGUGAGUAACACGUGACCAACCUGCCCUGUACACCGGGAUAACAACGGGAAACCGUUGCUAAUACCGGAUGCUCCGCGAGGACCGCAUGGUCCACGCGGGAAAGCUCAGGCGGUACAGGAGGGGGUCGCGGCCUAUCAGGUAGUUGGUGAGGUAACGGCUCACCAAGCCGACGACGGGUAGCUGGAGUGAGAGCUCGAUCAGCCACACUGGGACUGAGACACGGCCCAGACUCCUACGGGAGGCAGCAGUGGAGAAUCUUGCACAAUGGGCGAAAGCCUGAUGCAGCCACGCCGCGUGGGGGAAGAAGGCCUUCGGGUUGUAAACCCCUUUCAGCAGGGAAGAAGCGAGAGUGACGGUACCUGCAGAAGAAGCCCCGGCCAACUACGUGCCAGCAGCCGCGGUAAUACAAGGG
rnacentral:rRNA from 1 species